CUCUAACUGAAUUAGAGAUGACUUCCGGCGUUGGUUAACGAACGAACGGAAUAUUCUGGAUCGUAACGCGCUAAUUAAGACGAGGAACGUUUAGAUAUCACAAGGAGAACACGCCUGAAAACCGUAGCGAUGGUGACUCCACCAACUUGUCUAUUUGCCUGCCUGCACAUCGAUGCUAGCUGCUGAGAAUUGUUGCGACAAGACGAGACGUGGGAAUUGUUGAAACAAGGAGAACAUCGUCGUGUGCAGCAGUUACCAUUGGUGUCGAGAGGUCGACGGGUGACGAGUCGGAGGAUUUUAGAGGCAUCAGGCGUUCUCUCACGAGGCCUGUGUUUACGAGGGGGAGUCGCAACGCAAACGCCACCAUCGAGCCGGUGGCUACGACUGGAACCUUCAGCGUCGAUCGAAUUCCUAAUUCGGCGGUAGGGGAGGGCAAGGGACGUAGAACGUUCGGGGUUGCACUUCGGAAGCGCACCCUUCGCGACAUCUAAGCCAUCGUGAGGCUUCAACGACAUAGUUCCUCCCGAAACUCUUUUUACCGUAUAAACUUCUUUUAAAGAACAUUACUUUCUUCCUUCUUCGUCUUCUUUUAUUAUUCUUUCUUUUUUUUCUUCUUCUUCUUUUUCUUUUUCUACUAAAAUUUUAACGGAUUCCCACUUGACGUUUAUUAACAAUUGCCUUUUUCGUUAUACAAGAUGGACGCAAAAGUUCCCAGACUUGGGACUUUAAAAUCUGAAAAGAAUAUUAAUCUAAAAAGUCUCGAAAAAGAAUAAUUGAUGUUUUAAAAAUCACCUGGAAACUUUUAUCCUAUUCUGUACUAGAUAGUUUAUUGGUCCAUAAGAGUAGAAAUCGUUCGAGCCGUGAAGAUUCUUGCUUUACAACAUAGGAUAUUACAUUUAAUUGCGAAAAAAAGAAGAAAAGAAAGAAGAAGAAGAAGAAAAAUAAGUUAGAAAUAUAUAUUUGUCAAACGACAAAACCUUGCCGAGCGCGAAACGUUCUCUGGUCGUAUUGCUACAGAAUCUGAGAGUUGAGAAAAGAGAAGAGAGAAAGAGAUAGAGAAAACGAAGGCAAAUUGGUAGAGUUAAUGAAAAGGGGACACGGUAGUUCGUGGCAGAGUGAAUCAAGCUUUGGGAUUGCGUUUCCAUUUGUUUAUUUUCUCUGCCCAUCUCCCUCUUUCAUUUCUCGAUUCUAGUUUUCUCUACCAAUAAGUGAGAUAAAGAGCGAAAGAGAGUAAGAGAGAGAGAGAGAGAGAGAGAGAGAGAGAAAGAGAGAUAAAGAAAAAGAAGAGGAUCGUAUAUGCCAGUAGAACAGGUCGCUGCUCUGCCAGACGAACCUGGACUGUGUCCACACCGUUCCGUAACGAUCAUAAAAAGCGUAUCGUGUUUGCUUGGCAACUCGUACGAACGUGAGAAAAAGCCUCAAAUUCCCGGUUCAUUGCCACUCGGGAGCGAUCGACGCUAGUGCCAAGUUUCAAAUGUCCUGUGCACAUAACCAGCCCAUGUCAUUGGAAGUACAUACAUACCGAUUUCUUGUGAACACGGUGCGAGGAAUAAUGAAAAAUAAAAUAAUCAUAUAAAGAAAAGAGAAAAAAAAAAUAGAAAUAAAUUCCUGAAUCUUUUUCAGAGAAACAUGAAUAUACGAAUAACGAGUGAGGUUUAAAUAAAAAUUCAAUUUCAUAUAUCGUACAUUUUAUCCGCUUAAAAUAGCGAAUUAGUAAUGCACAUUCAGUAAUGAAAUAGUUAUAAUCCGUACGUUAUAUGUUAAAAAAUAUUUUUCUCGAUCCAAUUAUUAAAAACAUUUGUUCGUUACGAUAAAAUCACGAUAUUGUUUUCAUUUAAAUAUAUAUACGUAUGUAUGUAGGUAUCA